UACGUAGGGUGCAAGCGUUAAUCGGAAUUACUGGGCGUAAAGCGUGCGCAGGCGGUUUUGUAAGUCUGUCGUGAAAUCCCCGGGCUCAACCUGGGAAUUGCGAUGGAGACUGCAAGGCUAGAGUUUGGCAGAGGGGGGUAGAAUUCCACGUGUAGCAGUGAAAUGCGUAGAUAUGUGGAGGAACACCGAUGGCGAAGGCAGCCCCCUGGGUCAAGACUGACGCUCAUGCACGAAAGCGUGGGGAGCAAACAGG
rnacentral:rRNA from 1 species